GAGCAGAUGUUCAUGACACUUAGCUAUGAUGAUAUCAGGAUUGGAGAUUUAUUUUUUCCAUUACGCCGCUGUCCAGAAUAUACUCAGAAUUUGUCCCAUGUGAAUGCAAUUCCUCAGCAGCAGAAAAUACAUUUUUGAUGGAUCAUACUGGUUAAUUCAAAAGAAUCACUCUCAGCAAGACAAGGCGUGAUUCACAAUUAGUCUGGCUACUGAGCACUGGAAAUGAAGCCAAAACACCACCAAUUCCGUGAUGCUUUCAAUUGUAGGUGUGGUACAACAAAUUUAGACCUACGUUUAGCACAAAGAGCCAAUUAGCAGUGAGGGUAACUCUUUAACGUACAAAUGCCUGCCAUGACACGGGAUCUCCGUUUUUAAGGUUUCAUGUGGCCUAUUGGCAUGAGCGGAGCUUGAACUCACGACCUCCUGCAUGGUUACGAAGCAAACGUUUUACCACUGGGCAACUGCGACCGGUAUAUAUAUUGUGAAUGACCAUGUCAUUUAGUAUUUCAAAAAUUACUGUCUCUGUCACAAAAUGUAUUGCUGUGUGGGUGUGGGUGGCAUCAUAGUGACUGUGACGUGCUAUGACGUUGUAAAGUAAACAGUUUUUUAGAUUAACAAGUAACGAUGAAAUGACAAGACGUGUUGUUUUCACUCUAGCUUAUAUAAUACAAAACAUUUGGUGCCGUGACUAUGAGUUCGAAUCUAAAGGUUGUCCGCGGCGGACACAAAUGCACAAUUACAAGAAUAGUCAACAAAAACGAGGAAAUUGAGGAAUGUAGAUAUUGACGAAAUCACCGCAACCAUCAAGACACUACAUCGGAAACAUGAACUGUUGUCCAUAUUGAACAGUGAAAUUCUUGAGACCACAACAGAAGAAGAGAUGGACAACGAAAUAGAAGAAACAGACAAGUAUGAUUUAAUUAUUCAGAAAACUAUUUCAAAAUUAACGAGAUUGUCAAAAUCAUUGCUUAAUCCAAACGCUUCAGUCUUCAUGCCCGUGAAUUCGAAUCUUUAUCCAGAUAGUUCAAGGAGUUUAUCAUCAUCCGGCAUUAACCACUCUUCAAGUUUUCAAAAAAUGCCGAAGCUAACUAUUACUAAAUUCGAUGGGAAUCUGUUAAACUGGCAGUCGUUUUAGGAUUCAUUUGAGGGAGCUAUAUAUAGACAAAAAUGUCUUGUUAACAAACGCACAGAAAUUCAAUUAUUUGAAAUCUCAUUUAAUUGGUGAAGCAAGUCAGUGUAUUGCUGGGUUACAGAUAACAAAUGCAAAUUAUCCAACUGCAAUUCAGUUCUUAUAGGAAAGAUUCAGACAAAAACACACUUAUAAAUACAUUCAUGAAAAAUCUCUCCAAACUGCCCGCUCCUGUGUCAAAUACGGAAAGUUUGAAAUCAUUUUUAAUUAUGAUAAAAUGGAAAACUAUGUCCGUGGUUUAGAGUCACUGGGAAAAUACCCAGACAGUUACGGAUCAAUAUUGGUACCAAUUAUACUUGAUAAACUACCUCAGGAAUUGAGACGCAACAUAACACGUGAUAACGUGGGAGACGACUGGAAUUUUCAGAUUUUGCGGAAAGCCAUACUCCGAGAGUUUACUGUCCAGGAUGCUUACAGUUCAUCUACUAGUAGUGUGUCUGAUGAUUUCAUGCCUACAGCAGCAUUUGUGACAAAAACACAUUGCAUGCCUGUUCCAAACGAGAGGAAAAAUAAAAUCACAUCAAAACCAUAUGUGUUUUGCGGUGACAUUCAUGCCCCUGCAUUAUGCAGUAAAGUGACCGAUGUCAACGAGCGAAAGGCAAUAAUUAAGGAGAAAGGCCUUGUUUUAACUGUUUUGUGAAACAUCAUGUUUCCGAUUCUAAAUCAGAAAACCGUUCACUUUACAACAUCAAAGCACGUCACAGUCACUAUGACGUCACACACAUCCACACAGCAAUACAUUUCGCGACAUUCUCCGGCCACAGAAAGUGCAUAGUUAAUUAACACAAUACAUAUAUUAAGUACAUUGUCAUUGUUUUCCAAGUAAUUCGCGACAGUCUCAUUAUCAAGUCCAAACAAGUCGUAAAUUUGGCCACAAGUUGAAUUAUAUAAUGAAACCAAAGCCUAGGUGGAGGGUUAAAUUAUUGACCAAUUAAACAAUUAACUAUCCACCCCACAAGGAAACAUGGGUGAUGUGUCACCUAAAUAAACACCUAAUUAACACAGCUGAGCUAGACCAGGCAUUCAAUAUUCUUCAAUGUUAUGCAGGUAAGGUCCAACUGGAAAUAGUAAUACACCGUGUAUAUAUGCUACAACCACUUUGAGAGAUCAAGAGUGAAAAACAAUGAAAUAUGUUUUACAGGACCGAUUUCAUUUUGAGAGAUUGAACGUUUGAGAGAUCGAUAGCAAAGAAGUAGGUACAGUUUCUAAAGUCAUCUGGCCUAAAAUAUCGAUGAUUUCACCUGGAGCUCAAAUCCUGGCAUUCAAAUAAGGAAUAGAUUAGCAAACACAAAUUUCACUCAGUUUGAUCAGCAAAAUGAUUUGUGUCAUAGGACGAGAGCUUGAAGUUGGCAUAAAAUUGCAAAAAUGCCAUUUUCAAUGAAAAUAUCCACAAAUUCAGGUGGUUUUCUUUUCAAAAAACAUACAGCGCACGAGUCGAGCAAAUUCAUAUUCAAGCAUAUUUUUCAUCUUAAAAUAAUACACAAUAUAUAUCAUUUUCAUUUUGCUCGACAAAUGCGCACAUCUUUUUCUGAGCAAUAAUCUGUAUGACAUUUGACAGUUUUCAGGCUUAUUUGGAGAAAAAGGCGGGAAAUGUCUUAUUCAUGAGGUCAUAAUGCUAUCCAUUUAGGAAUAUCAUUCUGAUUUUGUUAACAUAGUAUACCUGGCAUAUAUUUUACUUUCUUAAAACGCUUGUUAAGGUUAAUUCCAGACACAUUUUAUAGAGAGAAAUUUUUUUGGCUUUUUUAUUGUUCCUUGCUUUAAGUUAUAAAGAAAAAAUCAUUUGCUUACUUAUAUAGAGAAAAAAAUUGGGACCGUGUACUUUCACUUCGAGAGACUGAAGUUCAAAUCAUCGAGAGUCACCUGUAUUAUCUUGAUGUGUUUGGACCAAAAUGUAGCAUCAUCCUUUUUAAGAUAUACCAAUCCCUUAUGAUCAACACAUUAACAAUUGCCCUUGUUUAAAUUUUCUAAUCCCCUCCACCUGGAUCUAUCCAUGUACUUCACAUAAUCAAUAUCCCCACAGUAUUGCAGUGGAAGUUAAUUUCUCCCCCAAAAGACAAUCUCGCAAUCAGAAAUUGACAUAUUUUGAUUUCGCUUAUCAUUACAUGGCAAGUGAGCUGGAAAUUGUCAAGAGUGAGAGACAUUUCUCUAUAGCCUUCUAAUCAUGCCCCUCUUCUGCAUGUGGUGAACCAAAAGACCUUGGACCCCAGUAAACACAAUUUUAUCCAAGACCCUGAUUAGGUCAAAGGCCCUAGAUAAUAUUACUCCUAAAUUCAACACUGUCUGUGUUAACACCAGUUGUUAUUAUUUGCAAUAGUGCUUAGCUCCUGUUUACCUUGAGACUACAAAUAGUAAUUAACAUCUAAUUUUAUUUCUUAAAUUUCAGAAUUUCUCCCACAUAUCAGUCAGACUACAGCAUCAUGGAAAGUACAUAUGGUUGUUGAAGAACAGACAAAACAUUUUCAUAAAUUGUUUUUAAAAAAGACUUAAAACUUAACAUUCUUGUACAUUGAUUACAUGCAUCAAAGAAAUAUAACUGUAACAAAAAUAAAUAAAAAAAUAAAAAAAUAACAAUACCAGGUCAUUGUGCUAUAAUGCAAUAAAGUAAGAAGAUAAAUUGCACUGUAAUAGUUUUAGUUGUUUUAAAUCAUGAUUGGAAUUCAGACAAAAUUAUACUAUUUGUGAACCACAAGUUCUCAAUCUGCACAUCCAUUUUGUAUUUUUCAAAAGUUUGAGAAACGUAUUUGUCAAUCCUGUAAAGAUUUCCUAUUUUACUUUUGGUGCCUGCAAGUGAGCAAGGUUUAAGGGUUGUUUCUUGAAUGUAGUAGGUUAGAUUGGCUUUGUGAUUGCAUGUUUCGACAUUGUGAUGUCAUGCUGAUGUUUACCGUCAUUUAAUAUUGAGAACAUGAAGAUUUUCUAAUGACAAGAGGCCCAUGGAUUGUAAAUACUUAAUGAGGGCUCGUUGUUCAUUAUAAUCACGCAAACAGUUUGCCUGCUUGAUGUCCAGGAGUAAAUAAGAUUUUUUUAAACAUAGUGCAUUUUCAACAUAUGAUCCAGGGGUCAUACAUAUCACAAAUAAGCUCAUUAUAUUGCCUGCUUGACAGACGAAAUUUAUUAGAUAGCAAUAACGGGUCAUUUGAGUGAAUCAACACCAUGUUGCAAUGUAAAUAUAAAACAAAACUCACAAAACCUUUCAUUUGAUCAUCAGAAAAUCAGGUCUGUGAUUUAAGGUCACAAUUAAGUGACUAGGAAGAGUUCUUGUACAAUUUCGGAAACAGUUUGAAAUUUUAUAUUUUAGUAACAUUACUAUACUUCAUAUAAUGGCCUGGUUAGCCUAGUAGUUAGAUAACCUAAUUCGUAAUUCAAGGAUCACAGGGGCCUAUUGAUCAAUCCAAAUAUUUUUCUCCCCUUCUUUCCUACAAUACCCAUAUAUACACACAAGAGUUGACAUUACUUUUUACUAUUCCACAACUGGAAACUAUCAAAAUAUAUGUUUACAACCCUGAAGCAUACUACUACACCAAAUCAACUGUUCUGUAAUCAUUUCAUUCUUGACUAGAAUUGUUCCAUUCCCACACCAAACCAUUCCAUUCAAACCCUUCGAUGUUCCAUUCCCACACCAAACCGUUCCGUUCAAACCCUUCAAUGUUCCAUUCCCACACCAAACCAUUCCGUUCAAACCCUUCAAUGUUCCAUUCCCACACCAACCAUUCCGUUCAAACCCUUCAAUGUUCCAUUCCCACACCAAACCAUUCCGUUCAAACCCUUCAACAUUCCAUUCCCAAGCUAAAGCAUACCAUUUCUACACCAAACCAUUCCUUUCCCAUCUAAAACUGUUCAUUCUCAAUAAAGUAUUAGUUCCCUCAAACUGUUCAUUCCUGCAUGGUCAUUCGGAACUCACCUAGCAUCACUGAGUCAAUGUAGAUCAAAAUAGCACUCAGAGACAUUUAGAGGACAAGAUGAAUUUUUUGAUAAAAAGAACAAGAAAUUUGCAUAAUAGGGAUUUUUCCAGAUAGGUCGCAAAGCAGUUUCAAACAAAAACAUAAUUUCAUAUUAUAGGCUUAGUGUAAGUGUAUUUAAAAAGUUUUAAAUUAAUAAAAAAUUUACUUAUUUUAAUGAAAUUGUUGGAAAAUUAAAUUGAAUUAUUAACUUGCUAUAAUUUUCAGCUGUUGUCUUCAAGUGUGGGUGUGAAUUAAAAAACUUGCUAAAGCAAUGGUGUACUACAAUAUAUGGAGCCCACACCUCAGGUGAAAUUUGCUUUCUAAAAUGCUAUCCUCUGAGACUUUUGGUGUCAAAUCAGGACUUAACUGAGUACAUGUACUGAAUGAAUAUCAUUACAAUGUACAUGUGCCAUCAAUUAAUUCAUCACAAAUAUUGAAACAAUGCAGGCACUCCCUUACUGAAUUAAAACAAUGAAGAACAGUGUACCAUGUUUGUAAAUAUAAUUUUUUUUAAAAAAACCCAUUUACUGAAAAUUUUCAAUAUCAAAUGUUGAAUUUGAGGUGUGUGUGUUCAUUUUCAAUACAUUGACUUGAAUCACGAUAAAAUACACAAUCAUCGUUUAUAUUGUACUUUGAUCUGUCAAUAAAUAUUGACUAUCAUUUACUGGGCUUAAUUUAGAUUACAGAUAUUUGGUAAAAAACCUAAUCCUAAUAUUUACAUAACAAUAGAAACAACAAAAGAAAACAGGGGGGGGGGGGGGGGGGGGGUGUUGCUCCUUUUCAAUUCCCCAUACCAGCUGAAAACAGUUAUGCACUCACUGGUGACAAUUUUAUCAAAAUUUAUACAUCAAUGAAAAAGCCAUUUUGUUUGAAUAAUGGUAGAUAGGUAAUUGUUUUAUGUGAAUUUUAAAAUGGUAACAUUUUCCAAUAAAUUAUUAGCUAAAACUUUAAUCACCCAUUUUCUUUCUAUCUCUUUUUAUCACAAAGCCUUAGACUGUAUGUAAAAAGUGCCAAGAGUCUGAAAUGUAGAAUUUGAAAUUGAGAUCAAAACGUUCUUUUCCAACUUGACACAAAGCAUUCUGUUCUUGACCAAAACCAUUCAUUCUCCAUCUUCAUGCAAGCAUUCCAUUCUCGAUAAGAACCUUCCAUUAUUCUCAAUGAAAACCAUUCCAUUCAAAUCAUUCAGCAUUCGUUACCCAAUCAACUGUCCAAUCCCAAACCGUUCACCAUUCCACUGGUAUAUAAGCUAGUAUGCUUUAGGAUCUGGAGCUCUAAAACAUCUGUGGUAAUAUUAUCCCAAGUUUUUUUUUUAAGAAACAAGGUAGGAAGUGAAUUGCACCCGAAAUGUCACAAAAAAUUAUAUAUUCUUGAGAAACAUCAUGUAUGACAUUUAAGUAUUUUAAUGAGUUUGACAACUAAUCAGAGCAAAAUACACCUUUCAUACACAACAUUUGUUUGGUUUGCCUCGUGUCCUUAAUUGAUUUAUCAAGCCUGCAACAAACCAAGGCAUGCGAAAGAGUCAAAGGCAUGUAUACAUCAUUAACAUCAGAUAAUCAAAUAACAUGUAUCACUUAUACUCAAAUGUCAUUAAGAAUACAACUGAGUACAAAAUGAUGAAAAUUUACUCCCAAACUAUAGAUAUUCAAUACUUCAACAUAAGGAAGUUGGCAGGGGAAAAAACCUUGUAUUUCAUAAGGAAACUCAAAGACUGCAGCAAUCUUACAGAUUUCAGGGCUCGGGAUUUUCUAAGAGGGAUACCAAAUUUGAUUUUUGGAAACACUAAAUGUUAAAUAUGACAACAAAUCAUAUAUCCAACCCCCACUCCCUCCAAAAUGAAAGUUUAGCAUACAUAUAUAUAUAUAUAUUGAUUGUUCAUCAACGAGAAAACUGUUAAAAUGGUUUUAAUAUCAAUUUUUCUGAGCCUUAUAAUUUCUACUUAAAGCGAAGUAAUAUAAUAAUAUACUUUAAGCAAUUCCAAAUAACAAAACAGCUUAAUUAAGAACAAAAAUUUAUUCCAAAAUCAAUCCUCAAAAUGAAACUGAAUAAUAUAAAUAGUAUGAUAUCACCCUUAAACUCGGGAGAUUCAGAGCAGCGGAAGCACACAAUGAAAGGAACCAAAUACUUACCAUGACUUAAUAAACUCUCCAUCUAUGUCCAAUAAAUUGUAUCAAAUUGUCAUACUAGAAUAUCAAAUAUCUUAAAACAGUCGCAAAUUACAAAAGUAGGAUAUAUUGUCCAGUUGAACACGAAAAGUAUAAAAAUUCAACGACUGUCCAGGAAAUUUAUACAUUAUAUUGAGAUAUACAAAUGAUAUGGGGAACAUUCAAAACUUAUCUAUUGACUGGAAAUCAUUCUACUCAUCAUGAAUAUAAAGCUGUAAAUGCAAUUACACAACAUUUCAAAAAAGAAAAAAUUAUAUGAAUUUUAAAUAAAAAUUGAUUUGUUCAUAUAUUUGUUCAAUAUCGGAAAUUUAUUACAUUAUAAUGUAUAGUUACCCGACUGCAAUCAAUGAUUUUCAUUUAAGUUUUUUUUAUAACAGACACAGCCCCAUUGAAGCAAUGCAAAUACUGCAUUUAAUACUUUCAUAUAUGAUUUCUCAUGACAGCAUUAUGUAUUGCAUAUUCAGAAUACUGAACCCAAAAUUAUGACAAUAUGAAAAGCUAGCAUUCAUUUGCUUUCUGCACUGGUAGCCAUUUUUAAUUACUAAGAUGCAAGAAGUUCUUAGCUACAGCAAAUAUUGCAGAUUUUAAAAUUCCUGAAUCUUCCAGAAUUCUCACUCUUUCAUCCUAUUCAAUCUACAAAAAUUCAUCUGCUUAUUGGAAAAUCAAAAUGUGAUACCCUAACAUUGAUCAAGGGUUAACAUUUGCAAUCAUCAUGUCAAAUGCUAUAAUUCUCACUGGAGUUUAUAAGUCUACAUUGUCCUAUCCUCCCCAAAAGAGCAUUCAUAUGCUUCAUCAAACACCUAACUUUGUAGAGCUAGCCAUUAUGUAAAUAGAUCUAAACUGGUAAGUACAAGGAUUCCCAACACAGUAUUAAUUAUUGUAGGAAUCGAAACUGACAGAGUCUUGACAACUCUUGAUCUGUAUAUAUAUGUACACUGUACUUCAGUGAAGGUAUCUGAAAACGAUUGGUUCCCCUGAUACUCAGUAACUUUUCAUGCUGAGUCAAACCAAUCAAUAACAGAGGAAGAAAGUAUCAGGCUUGGGUGCAUUUUAAUUCGACAUUUAAUUGUGAGGUUUUGGGCUUUUUCCUCCCCUUCUCCGUCUUUCCUGCUUUUCUUUAUUAAAAAGCUACGAUGUAGUUUUUAGUAUGUCAAUAAUCAUAGAUCACUUUGCCUGUAAAUGAAAGGUUGUGAAGUACAUUGCAUAAGGAAGAUCCUAAUAUUGUUCAAUGCAGCACAAUUUACAGAUACAAAGUAUUACAUUAACUUACACAGAAAUCCUUAAACACAACUUCCUACUUUUCAAUACAUUAAAACUUUGCAAACUUAGCUCUAUAAAUGCACACCCAAUAUAUUAUACAUCAUUUUACUUCCAAUUUUUGCUUAUAUGUAUCAUUUU